UACGUAGGUGGCAAGCGUUGUCCGGAAUAAUUGGGAGUAAAGUGUGCGUAGGCGGCUAAGUAAGUGAGAUGUGAAAGUCAAAGGCUCAACCUUUGAAAGCCGGUGGAUACUGUGGGGCUAGAGUCCGGAAGAGGCGAGUGGAAUUCCUGGUGUAGCGGUGGAAUGCGCAGAGAUCGGGAGGAACACCCGUGGCGAAGGCGGCCAUCUGGACCAGCACUGACGCUGAGGCACGAAAGCGUGGGGAGCAAACAGG
rnacentral:rRNA from 1 species